CCCUUAGAUGUUCUGGGCCGCACGCGCGCUACACUGACGAAUGCAACGAACUUAUAACCUUGGCCGAAAGGUCUGGGUAAUCUCCAAAUUUCGUCGUGAUGGGGAUAGAUUAUUGCAAUUAUUAAUCUUCAACGAGGAAUGCCUAGUAAGCGCAAGUCAUCAGCUUGCGUUGAUUACGUCCCUGCCCUUUGUACACACCGCCCGUCGCUCCUACCGAUUGAAUGGUCCGGUGAAGCGUUCGGACCGUGGCCUUUGGACGGUUCGCAGUCUGUUGGCUGCGGGAAGUUCGUUAAACCUUAUCAUUUAGAGGAAGGAGAAGUCGUAACA
rnacentral:rRNA from 1 species